rnacentral:rRNA from 1 species
GUAGGGAAUAUUGGGCAAUGGAGGCAACUCUGACCCAGCCAUGCCGCGUGCAGGAUGACGGCCCUCUGGGUUGUAAACUGCUUUUAUACGGGAAGAAAAAAUACUACGUGUAGUAUACUGACGGUACCGUAAGAAUAAGGAUCGGCUAACUCCGUGCCAGCAGCCGCGGUAAUACGGAGGAUCCAAGCGUUGUCCGGAUUUAUUGGGUUUAAAGGGUGCGUAGGCGGAUCUUUAAGUCAGUGGUGAAAGCCUGCAGCUUAACUGUAGAAUUGCCAUUGCAACUGAAGAUCUUGAAUGUGGUUAAAGUAGGCGGAAUGUAUCAUGUAGCGGUGAAAUGCUUAGAUAUGAUACAGAACACCGAUAGCGAAGGCAGCUUGCUGAACCAUUAUUGACGCUGAGGCACGAAAGCGUGGGGAGCGAACAGGAUUAGAAACCCGAGUAGUCC